UAUAUGUGGGAGCCUAUUAAAUAGGUAGGCAUUGACGCUUGGCAGGUAAUAGCCGGUUUUGUUUUUUACAAUAAUCUGAUUUGUGAUGAUCUAGAGUAUGCAAAAGGUGUGUUGCAAGAAGUUUUCACCAUCAGAGAGGGAUCUGAACUUCAUACACUUUGGUUGUUUCAUAGGUUGCCGAUGAAGCAUCGGUAGACAAUUUUCAUCCAUUUACUGUACUUAUGUUGCGAUCAUAUUUACUGAACUGUUGAAAAGGGGAAACUGUUAAACACCAUGUUCACUCAUUUUUGUCUUGAAAUAUGUUGAUAAGAAUUUAUAGUAAUA